UUGCUUUUGGUCAGCUCCCCGGAGCUGACGUCUGUCUCUCUCCUUUCCUUCCUUACCAUUCCGGAUUUAAAGCAUCUUCCAAUGUGACAAUAAAGAUCCUAUCUUUGGGAAAACUACGUACUGUGUCUGUGAAACGAUUAGAUCAAAUCCAGAUGUAGCUAUUCCCACCACAAUGCGUCCAAUAAAAGACCACCUCUGCCUGUAACCUCCCUUCUCUUGCACUGAACUAAUAUCAAGCCUCAGGAUGAGAUCUUCAAUCAAAACAUAAAACCCAUAUGACGCAGGAGCUCAAAGCUUUAGAUGGCUGUGUUUAAAGAACUAAUAUUCUCGUGAGAGGUGCAAUAUAAUUAAACAUGGUGGUGGAUGUCACGUGAGGCUUGAGAAAGGGACAGUCCAUCUCCUGAAACGUCGUCUGGCUGAUGGUCGGCACUCGGAUGCACUAAGCAGCACGACUUCUAUCCCGCUGGAGAUGCUACUAAUCAUGGCGAGAAACAGACCUCGGUGGAGGCAGAUGAAUUCUACUAGUGCCUGAUCAAUUUACUACUAUGAAUUCUACUAGUGCCUGAUCAAUUUACUACUACUUCGUCACUGGGUGAAUAGCCUCUAUUUUUGUCCAUACAUGCCUGGUUGUACUACAGUGGAACAAUUUUUUGGAUAAAGAAUUGGAUAUCUGCUAUCCCAAUUUGUUGUGCUUUCAUUUCUGUAUACUAUUUUUGGACUUUGGCUGGGGAGUAAGGAGCCCCUGGAUUGAA